GCUGGUGUAGCUCAACCGGUAGAGCGACUGAUUUGUAAUCAGUCGGUUGGGGGUUCAAGUCCCUUCACCAGCUC
rnacentral:tRNA from 1 species